UGAAUUAAAUAAAUUUAAUUGAUUUAUUUUGUGAGUAAGCUAUGUGAAGGUCGUUUUAUGACUUAGAAUGUGCUAAUGUGGUUAGUAAUCUGGCUACGUGCUAGAAUUAAUUGAUUAGAAUUUCCAAGACGAAAAUAAAUGUUUUUCGAGAAAUUUUCUUAAAAACACUAUUCAUCCAUUUCUGUUCGGGGAAUUAUUUUGAAAUUUUGAGAAACGCGU
rnacentral:lncRNA from 1 species